GAUGAACGCUGGCGGCGUGCCUAAUACAUGCAAGUCGAGCGAAUGGAUUAAGAGCUUGCUCUUAUGAAGUUAGCGGCGGACGGGUGAGUAACACGUGGGUAACCUGCCCAUAAGACUGGGAUAACUCCGGGAAACCGGGGCUAAUACCGGAUAACAUUUUGAACCGCAUGGUUCGAAAUUGAAAGGCGGCUUCGGCUGUCACUUAUGGAUGGACCCGCGUCGCAUUAGCUAGUUGGUGAGGUAACGGCUCACCAAGGCAACGAUGCGUAGCCGGCCUGAGAGGGUGAUCGGCCACACUGGGACGGAGACACGGCCCAGACUCCUACGGGAGGCGGCAGUAGGGAAUCUUCCGCAAUGGACGAAAGUCUGACGGAGCAACGCCGCGUGAGUGAUGAAGGCUUUCGGGUCGUAAAACUCUGUUGUUAGGGAAGAACAAGUGCUAGUUGAAUAAGCUGGCACCUUGACGGUACCUAACCAGAAAGCCACGGCUAACUACGUGCCAGCCGCCACGGUAA
rnacentral:rRNA from 1 species